GGUGGUUGGCGACCCUGCACAUUGCAGGGGGGUUGAAACUAGGUGAUCAUUGUGGUCCUUUUCAACCCAGGCCAUUCUAUGAUUCUAUGAAUCAUAGUCUGACAUUCAUUAUUCUUUCUAUGAUGUCUCUUACAGUGUUCUGGCAGUUUUGCACUGGCAGUUCAGUGCUUAAGCUGUAGGCAUUGAAACAUGUAGCUUGAAGGCAAGGAAAUCUCUUCUUGGGUCUAGAAAAACCUGAGCACAUCUGGAAAGUUCUGGAAAUGACUGGAUCUGCAAAGAGUCAAUCUGGAAAAGCCUGAAUGCACCAAUUAGCUCAGUGACUAAGACCAAGGUAAAGCAAAGACUGACCCAAGACCCUCAAGACCUAUGCUAGUAUCAUCGUCACUGAGCUGUUUUCCUCAGGAUACCUUCUGUCCACCCCACAACAUAGUAGUUUUCUUCCAGAUGGCUUCUUCUACGUUACAUUAUGCAUACAGUAGCACGAGGAGCAUGCUGCGUGUUAACUUACCACAAAACUUGCAUCAAGUAUGUCUUCAUUUAUGGCAAGCGGAAACUUGGCAUCUGUGGAGAGCUAGAAUGACAAGGAGGAAGAGGACACGUACAUGGAAGGAAUGUGUUCUUGGAGUAGAAAUUCUGUAGGAAGCAUGCAAAGUUGGUGUGAGGACAGCAAGAAGCCUCAGGUGAAGGUAAGAAGCCUCAGAGGGCAAAGGCACCCCAGGCAUACACCAGUGCGUCCAGGUAAAGCCAUGUUCCCCUUGAUUCUAUCAGCUUUUUACUGUUUCCCGGUUUCCCAAGCUGCCUGGCCUGAAGUUCAGCUCCAGAAUCAUCUCAUGGCAUUCUCAUGUUGGUCAGCCAGGGCUAGAAAGCCUGGGGAGCAAAUGAAAACCAUGUCUGGCACAUGAGUGGCUGCAGAAGAGGCUGAAAAGAGGAGGAUUAAGCAGCAGAUUAAGCAUUCCCUGUUACCUUGAAAAGCCUCUGAAAGAAAUGGUUUCAGGGAUUAAAAAUUAAUGUGAUUGCUUUAACAAAUGUUGUUUUUGAGAAGAACAGGAAUGAGUUCCAAGCAGAACUAUCUAAGGGACUGUGAAACAGCCCCAAAGAAAAAUGGUCCCCAAAGAUCCUUUGUUGAGGGUUAUUUUAAACUACUUUGAACAGAGCGUAUAUAGGUGGGGAUGAAAUAAUCCAUACAAUACUGAAAGUCAUUUAUUUCCCAGUAAGACCUAGAAAACAAAACCAACUCACAUCUAAGUGCGUUAGCUUGGAAAGAAACAUUCAAAAUUAAAGAUCUUUUUUUUGUGUGUGUGUGCCAGUAACUCUUUACAGCAGUAGAAUGUUUGCAGUGCCUGUAUUCCUAUCCGUGGAGAAGGUUCUGCACACCAGCCGACGAGGUGAGACACUUAGAAACAUAGAAUGCUUUCCUAAAGCCUGCAAUGUGCAUCAUUUCUUGUGACCAGCAAAUAACUCAGAUGCCAAAAGGCUCACUCCUUUUUGGUACUGGUACCUGUUUGUUCUACUUUUUUUUUUAAUAUAAAUUUGAUUUAAUAGCUUAAGAAAAAAGGAAACUUCAGAAAAGAACCAGAAUAUUAAGGUGGCUGCUUCGUGACAAUUCCAGAUCUUAUCACAGUGUAGCUUUAAUUCCUAACUCUUCCUAAGGCUGUUCUACACUUGAAAUUAUUUUUAUUAGUAUAAAAUCAAUUCUAACUAGAAAUAAUUCGAUCAGAGCUGAUCUGAUACAGCUUUCUGUGAGUGCCUAGGAUCUUCAUGUUUUUAAGGUAAUUAUCUAACAUCUUGGUUAGCAGAGAAGCACCUUAAAGUCCCUUUCACUGACGUGUUACUGAGGCCCAGAGAAACUACAAGUGACGCUGCCGAAAGUAUGGAAGUUGCACCUUAAGAGCAGGUUAUGCAUCCAAAGAACGGAUCUCAGAAUUUUCCAGGCUGUCAGCUCCUACUGAAUGACUGGGAGUUAGGCCUGGGAAUAUCUGAAUGUCAUAACCUUGUUAACUGAAACUCACUUACAAACUCAGAAUGAGAAGUAAACAGGUGCCCAGUUCCUGUAGCCAAACCAUCAGGCCUUUCAUUAGGCGUUUAUUUUCCAUACGUGCUGCUUAGGAAGUUUGGGUGUCUUCAUGUCUUUUGCCCAUGCAGAACAGUGCCUUUUGCCUCUGAAGCAUUUUAAGAAAAGAUAAAAAUUUGUUUGUUCUUUAGGCGCUUCUGAGGUUAAGCUGUAGUUGAGCAGGAAUUGGCAGGAUUGCAGUCUCGGUCAUAGCUACUUAAAGACCUCCCUAAGGUCCAUUUUAAUCACAUAAGCCCUUUUAUAGAUCUGGGCUUAAUGUCCAAAUCCCUCCUGGAAAUUUUAUCCUAAGAGAAUGUCCUGAGGUCACACAGAAAACUUAGCAGAGAAGGAACUGAAGUUAGGUAAUGUCUUCAGGUAGUGCUCUGCCUCUCUGACUGUCCUCCAUAAAAAUUACUUUGUGUUGUAAGAAUGCGGCUUUUGGUGCUCUAAAAUUGUUAGGAAUCUGCCUAUUUUAAGAGUAGAGUCAGGAUGGCUUUCAAAAAGGGGUGCAUGUAUACAAUCAAAGGCUUAAAAAAAGAAAAUCUGUCGAGAAGGCAGAAAGAUGGCAGGAAAAUGCUGUCCAGAUCAUUUAGGGCACACUUCCCUCCCUUGGGAAUCACUGUUAGAAAGGCAGGUGGCACCAGAAUCAGUGGGUUUGGUGUCGGUGUUGGAGUCCCUGUGACAUUCACAGAGCCCACUUGUGACUGUGAAUAAAAGGAAGGUGAGAGCACUAUCUGGGGCUGAACAGUGAUAUUAAGAAGGACAAGGACUUCCAUGGUGCACAUAGCAAAGGGAGUAUAGAGCAACAUUGUUCUCCUUGCCCUGAAGACGAAGGAUGGCUGAACACAGGGAAUGAGCAAAGUCACUUGCCAUAAUUACAGAAUAUAUUAGAUGUGUUUUAUGUCUUCUUUCAACUAAAUUAGUGUUGCAUUUUCAAUACUGUGUGCAAGAAUAUAUGAACGAUACAGUCCUUCACUGAGAACAAUGUAGAGAUGGCACUUUGUUGCUUCACAAGUAAGAAAGUUAGAAAGAAAACCCUGAAACUGAGCUGACGUAAAUUGUUUGUGCCUUAGUGAGGUCAAUGAAUGGUGACAGUUACAGUACUUGAAGAUUUUCAUUCUCUUUCUAAGCAGCAUUUAUGAAAACAAACAUCUUAGCACCAUAAAUCUGACAGUAGAACCCGCUGGCCAUCCCACUUGAAACCAAGAAAUUAGAAUCUAUUCAUUACAGUGCUGUGCCUGCAUUAAGUUGUUUAGUCUUCUGCUUGAAUGUCAAAUUGUUUCUAACACUUGUAAUUCGAUGUUGUAUGUUCAGUUAAUGUAGAAAAUUCUAUUACUGUGUUUAGGUUUUUCCAAAUCUUCAUUAGGUUCAGAUAAAAGCUGAUGCCAAGUAAUAGCAUUAUAUAAGCAAGGAAAAAAAGAAAAAGUGGUAAUAAUUUGGUUUAAACAAAAAGGAGACAGAAUUGAUUUUUAUGUUCUUCAUUGAAUAAAACCACUUUUAAAUCUAUCCUGUGGGUUUUAUACCUUUAAUCUUCCUUCCUCACAUCCUUUUCUUUCCAGUCCUGUAU